AUGUCCUCCUCUAGCUCGGCCAUCUUCUCCGGCCUGAACAACAACACCUCCCAACCACUUUCCUGUACCAACUAUGUCCUAUGGCGCGCCCAGGCCAGAUCACAGAUCAUGGGCGCUGGCCUUUUUGGCUAUCUCGACCAAACUAUCAAAGAACCCUCUAAAACCAUCACCUCCAAAGGCGCCGAUGGGAAGGAUCAGGUUGUCCCAAAUCCUGCCUACUCCCCAUGGCUUAUUCAAGAUCAG
rnacentral:rRNA from 1 species